rnacentral:tRNA from 1 species
CACCCCGCAGCGGGCGGCCGGCGGCGGUCCGCUGCCGCUGGACCGGCAGCCGGUGCUGUUCACGGCGGCCGAGGUGCC